rnacentral:tRNA from 1 species
GAGGGUAUAUCUCAGUAGUAGAGUGCAUGCCUCGCAUGCACAAGGUCCGGGGUUCAAUCCCCAGUACCUUCA